rnacentral:sRNA from 1 species
GUACCUGAGCCGAUCAGCAUCGGCCUACUCCGUGCCAGCAGCGCGUAAUCCGAGAUGCAGCGUAAUCCGAAUAUGGCGUAGCGUCCGCCAGUGUGAGCAGUCUGCGUUCAAGCGUGGGAGCUACUCCAUAUUCGCGUGAAACCUGCUGGACUAGAGUGUGGCAGGGGUAGCGGGAAUUCCCAGUGUAGCGGUGAAAUGCGUAGAUAUUGGGAAGAACACCGGCGGCGAAAGCGCGCUACUGGGCCAAUACUGACACUGAGGGACGAAAGCCAGGGGAGCGAAAGGGAUUAGAUACCCCUGUAGUCCUGGCUGUAAACGAUGGGUACUAGGUGUUGCGCGUAUCGACCCGUGCAGUGCCGUAGCUAACGCGUUAAGUACCCCGCCUGGGGAGUACGCACGCAAGUGUGAAACUCAAAGGAAUUGACGGGGGCCCGCACAAGCGGUGGAGUAUGUGGUUUAAUUCGAUGCAACGCGAAGAACCUUACCAGGGCUUGACAUGUCGCGAAUCUUCCUGAAAGGGGAGAGUGCCUUCGGGAGCGCGAACACAGGUGGUGCAUGGCUGUCGUCAGCUCGUGUCGUGAGAUGUUGGGUUAAGUCCCGCAACGAGCGCAACCCUCGUUUCUAGUUGCCAUCAUUAAGUUGGGCACUCUGGAGAGACUGCCGGUGACAAACCGGAGGAAGGUGGGGAUGACGUCAAGUCAGCAUGCCCCUUACGUCCUGGGCUACACACGUACUACAAUGCUACGGACAGAGAGUUGCGAGCUCGCGAGAGUCAGCUAAUCUCGUAAACCGUGGCUCAGUUCAGAUUGCAGGCUGCAACUCGCCUGCAUGAAGGCGGAAUCGCUAGUAAUCGCAGGUCAGCAUACUGCGGUGAAUACGUUCCCGGGCCUUGUACACACCGCCCGUCACACCAUGGGAGUUGGCCACGCCCGAAGUCGUUACUCUAACCGUUCGCGGGGGAGGGCGCCGAAGGCAGGGCUGAUGACUGGGGUGAAGUCGUAACAAGGUAGCCGUACCGGAAGGUGUGGCUGGAUCACCUCCUUUAUAGGGAGACCACCCACUAUUUGUAGAGCGACAGAGUUCAGCAGAUAGCUGGUCAACCAGGUCGGUCGUGGCUUAUGUUAGGUGCUUUCAAACUGUUCCGGUUCGGGAAUGGGCUAUUAGCUCAGGUGGUUAG